GACGUAGGGCGCGAGCGUUGUCCGGAUUUAUUGGGCGUAAAGAGCUCGUAGGCGGCUCGUUGCGUCGGCUGUGAAAAACCCGCAGCUCAACUGUGGGCUUGCAGCUGAUACGGGCGGGCUGGAGUUCGGUAGGGGAGACUGGAAUUCCUGGUGUAGCGGUGAAAUGCGCAGAUAUCAGGAGGAACACCGAUGGCGAAGGCAGGUCUCUGGGCCGAUACUGACGCUGAGGAGCGAAAGCGUGGGGAGCGAACAGG
rnacentral:rRNA from 1 species